ACCACAAGGCGCACUCGUUAUUAGAGGCCAGAGAGGGAGAGAUGCUUGGUGGGAAUUGUAGUGCGAAGCCAAGAGGCUCCCCCUCCCCCCCUUCCCCCCUGCCCCAAGUGCUUAGACCGAAGGCGGCGCUGCGCCACCGGGGGACGCCCUGGGCUCAUUUCUCUGACAGUCCUUCUACUAGCUUCAUUUUCCUUGUCAACAAAAUGGGGAUAAUCACAUCUACCUUGGAAUUGUUAUGAGGAUCACAUGGAGAAACACAAGUGAAAUGCUCUGUAGAUAUAAAGCAUGUAUCAACGAUG
rnacentral:antisense_RNA from 1 species